AUGAAGAUGGCAAAUAAAUGCUGCUCUCCUGGCAACCAGGUGGUGCACAUGGGGUGGGUGUACGAGAGGCUGCAGGGAGCUGACUCCCCCCAGACCUUUGCAUCAAAGUUCCUGGCACUGAAGGGCUCGUCCGUCUACAUCCUCUGCUCUCCUCCGGUGAGCACGGCAGACUGGGUGCGGGCAGAGAGCGUCCAUAACCUCUGUGAGGUGCGAUUUAAAGCUCACAAGCUCUGGGUGAUGGAUAGCGGCUACUGGCUGCCAGCCAACCUCUGCCUCGGGCUGCAGGACUUGGACUUGGAGGACCAGAGACCAUACUGCUUCAGCCUCCUGGCCGGCCAGGGGAAGAGCCAUGUCUUCACCGUGGCACUGGGCACGGAGCUGGCAGUGUGGGAGAAGGCGUUCCAGAGAGCAACGUUCUUGGAGGUGCAGAGGACUGGGUCAAAAACAUACAUGUGCAGCUGGCAAGGAGAGGUGCUGUGUUUCACCGUGGACUUUGCUUUGGGGUUCACCUGCUUCGACAACAGGACGAAGAAUGUGCUCUGGAGAUUUAAAUUCUCCCAGCUGAAGGGGUCUUCGGAUGACGGAAACACUCGAGUAAAGCUACUAUUUCAGAACCCAGACACCAAACAAAUUGAGACAAAGGAGCUCGAGUUCCAGGACCUGCCGGCCGUGCUGCACUGUGUCCACGCCUUCAUGGCCUCCAAAGUGGCCUCCCUGGACCCCGCGUUCCCGGAUGGCCAAGGCCUCAUCAGAAGACACCCGCACAGCAGCAAGGGCAGCUUCCGCUGAGUGCUGAGAUGAAACUAUUUUCUUAGGACACGAACCUUUCCUGCACAGCACUGCACCUUUGUGUGAUUUUGUAUGGAGCCCAGAG
rnacentral:lncRNA from 1 species